rnacentral:lncRNA from 1 species
GGUUAAUCCAGCACUGAUUUCUCCUCAAUGUUAGCAUGAAUUUAAUAGCUUAGAUGAAACAGAAAAAUUCUUUGGAAGACACAAACUACCAAAGCUUCACUCAAGAAGUCAAUAACAAGAAUCGCCCUAUACAUGUUAAAUAAAUUGAAUUGCAAACCGAAAACCUUCCAACAAAGGAAACCCCAGACUUUGAUGGCUGCAUUGUGAAUUCAAAUACCAAGUUAUUUAAGGAAGAAAUAAUGCCAAUUCCACACAAACUUUUACAGAAAAUAGAAGAGGCGGAAACACUUCUCAAUCAUUUUCGAAGCCCAAUUCUUUCUUGAUAUCAAAAGAGGAAAAAAAAGGGGGGGAAACUACUAAAAUUCCUCAUGAAUAUAGAUGCAAAAAUCCUUAGCAAAAUAUUAUCAAAGCACUGCAUACAGCAGAUAGUUCAUAAUUGCCACAUUGGGAAGUAGUCAGUCUUUCAAGCGGACACACAAACUGCAGGGCUUUCAAGUGAUGGGACACUGUUCUGGGAGAGAAGGGAAUGACCUAUAGAGAUGCAAGGACAUGGAGAAGUCUCAAAUACAUUAUGGAGAGAGAGAGAAGGCAGACUCAAAAAGGGACUGACUUUAUGAUCUUAUCUAGGUGGCCUCCUGGAAAAGAUGCAAUUAUAGGAACAGAAAACAGAUCAUUUGCCAGGAUGAGAAGGGUGCCCAGAGCAACACUGUAAGAGAGAAUUUCUUGUGGUAGUAGAAUAGUCCCGGGUCUUAUGUCCGUGU